AUUGAACGCUGGCGGCAGGCCUAACACAUGCAAGUCGAACGGUAACAGGAAGAAGCUUGCUUCUUUGCUGACGAGUGGCGGACGGGUGAGUAAUGUCUGGGAAACUGCCUGAUGGAGGGGGAUAACUACUGGAAACGGCAGCUAAUACCGCAUAACGUCGCAAGAUCAAAGAGGGGGACCUUCGGGCCUCUUGCCAUCGGAUGUGCCCAGAUGGGAUUAGCUAGUAGGUGGGGUAACGGCUCACCUAGGCGACGAUCCCUAGCUGGUCUGAGAGGAUGACCAGCCACACUGGAAAUGAGACACGGUCCAGACUCCUACGGGAGGCAGCAGUGGGGAAUAUUGCACAAUGGGCGCAAGCCUGAUGCGGCCAUGCCGCGUGUAUGAAGAAGGCCUUCGGGUUGUAAAGUACUUUCAGCGGGGAGGAAGGGAGUAAAGUUAAUACCUUUGCUCAUUGACGUUACCCGCAGAAGAAGCACCGGCUAACUCCGU
rnacentral:rRNA from 1 species